rnacentral:rRNA from 1 species
UACGUAGGGUGCAAGCGUUGUCCGGAAUUAUUGGGCGUAAAGAGCUCGUAGGCGGCUUGUCGCGUCGAUUGUGAAAGCCCGGGGCUUAACUCCGGGUCUGCAGUCGAUACGGGCAGGCUAGAGUGUGGUAGGGGAGAUCGGAAUUCCUGGUGUAGCGGUGAAAUGCGCAGAUAUCAGGAGGAACACCGGUGGCGAAGGCGGAUCUCUGGGCCAUUACUGACGCUGAGGAGCGAAAGCGUGGGGAGCGAACAGG